GUAAGUGGGCAGCGGGUCAUAGAGGAGAAGCUAACUUGUGGGAAGUUCUUCCAAUCUGGAGAUUUGUAAAAUUACAUCAUUAUGUCAUCCAAAUGGAACUUCCCUUGUGUCAGGAAUACGCUCAUUAACACAGCAUAAACAAUCAUAAAUGCAUCAGACAAGUUUUUGGAAUCUGGAAUUCUUUAGAAUCAUGCAAAUUAGAAUUUAGCAUAAUACUUGUGUUUGUAGGGCAUAAGCUUAGAGAAAUCAUACGAACAGCUCAGAUGUGAAAGAAACUUGAUAAGUGUUUUCUCAAAUUUGAUAGAAAGUCUAAAAAUCUACAUGAUGUUAUCAAUAAUGAGUAAAUAUUACAAAAUUGCGAUUCGUAUAAAGAGACAAAGAUAAAGAAUUUGCCAGCUGAAAGGAUGAAUAAACGCUGAAAGUAUGGAUUCCAAAAAUUGUUGCCCCUCAGAAAUGUAAGGACAAAAAGCAUUAUAAGGAUGUGUCAGGCAAUCAAUAAAAAUAUAAUUUUCUAUGAA